UGAGCAACCUGCCCUUGACUCUGGAAUAACAGCUGGAAACAGCUGCUAAUACCGGAUAUGACCUCUGACGACAUCGUCUGGAGGUGGAAAGCUCCGGCGGUCAAGGAUGGGCUCGCGGCCUAUCAGCUUGUUGGUGAGGUAACGGCUCACCAAGGCGAUGACGGGUAGCCGGCCUGAGAGGGUGACCGGCCACACUGGGACUGAGACACGGCCCAGACCUCUACGGGAGG
rnacentral:rRNA from 1 species